UACAGAGGUCCCAAGCGUUGUUCGGAUUCACUGGGCGUAAAGGGCGCGUAGGUGGUGGGGUAAGUUUGAUGUGAAAUCUCCGAGCUUAACUCGGAAAUGGCAUUGAAUACUACUCUGCUAGAGGGUCGGAGGGGAGACUGGAAUUUUCGGUGUAGCAGUGAAAUGCGUGGAUAUCGAAAGGAACACCAGUGGCGAAAGCGAGUCUCUGGACGACUCCUGACACUGAGGCACGAAAGCUAGGGGAGCAAACAGG
rnacentral:rRNA from 1 species